GAUGAACGCUGGCGGCGUGCCUAAUACAUGCAAGUCGAGCGAACGGACGAGAAGCUUGCUUCUCUGAUGUUAGCGGCGGACGGGUGAGUAACACGUGGAUAACCUACCUAUAAGACUGGGAUAACUUCGGGAAACCGGAGCUAAUACCGGAUAAUAUUUUGAACCGCAUGGUUCAAAAGUGAAAGACGGUCUUGCUGUCACUUAUAGAUGGAUCCGCGCUGCAUUAGCUAGUUGGUAAGGUAACGGCUUACCAAGGCAACGAUGCAUAGCCGACCUGAGAGGGUGAUCGGACACAGUGGGACUGAGACACGGUCCAGAGUCCUACGGGAGGCAGCAGUAGGGAAUCUUCAGCAAUGGGCGAAAGCCUUACAGAGCUACACCGCGUGAGUGAUGAAGGUCUUCGUAUCGUAAAACUCUGUUAUUAGGGAAAAACAUAUGUGUAAGGAACUGUGCACACCUUGACGGUACCUAAUCAGAAAGCCACGGCUAAGUACGUG
rnacentral:rRNA from 1 species